rnacentral:rRNA from 1 species
AAUACGUUCCCGGGCCUUGUACACACCGCCCGUCAUACCACGAAAGUCAGUAACACCCGAAGUCGUGCCCUAGUGUACGCCGAAGGUGAGAUUGAUGAUUGGGGUA